AUAAUCCUGAUGUGCUCGUCGGAUUAACGAUGUUUUGACCGAACACUAUUAACAUCGGGAGCCCGGUGUUCUUAUAUGGUGUGCAUGCCGCUUACUUACGAAAGUAUUGAUUGCGGAAGCAUGAAGUAUCAGACAGGGCACCCACCUGCCUUGAGCGGGAUCAAAACCUCACCAGUGCGACGGCACAAUUGGGAUUAUU
rnacentral:other from 1 species